CAGCCGCCGCGGGAAUACGUAGGGCGCAAGCGUUGUCCGGAAUUAUUGGGCGUAAAGAGCUCGUAGGCGGUCUGUCGCGUCUGGUGUGAAAUCCCGAGGCUCAACCUCGGGCUUGCAUCGGGUACGGGCAGACUAGAGUGCGGUAGGGGAGACUGGAAUUCCUGGUGUAGCGGUGGAAUGCGCAGAUAUCAGGAGGAACACCGAUGGCGAAGGCAGGUCUCUGGGCCGCAACUGACGCUGAGGAGCGAAAGCAUGGGGAGCGAACAGGAUUAGAUACCCGAGUAGUCCCUGUCUCUUAUAC
rnacentral:rRNA from 1 species